rnacentral:misc_RNA from 1 species
GAUGAAGAACGUAGUGAAAUGCGAUAAGUAAUGUGAAUUGCAGAAUUCAGUGAAUCAUCGAAUCUUUGAACGCACAUUGCGCCCGCCAGUAUUCUGGCGGGCAUGCCUGUUCGAGCGUCAUUUCAUCCCUCAAGCACCUUCGGGAGCUUGGUGUUGGGGAUCGGCAGGGCGUCCUCCGGGUCGCGCCGUCCCCCAAAUCUAGUGGCGGUCUCGCUGUAGCUUCCUCUGCGUAGUAAUACACCUCGCUCUGGAGUCUCGGUGCGGCCACGCCGUAAAACCCCCAACUUUUUUCUGGUUGACCUCGAAUCAGGUAGGACUACCCGCUGAACUUAAGCAUAUCAAUAAGCGGAGGA